rnacentral:rRNA from 1 species
CCUACGGGUGGCAGCAGUGAGGAAUAUUGGUCAAUGGACGCGAGUCUGAACCAGCCAAGCCGCGUGAAGGAUGACUGCCCUCUGGGUUGUAAACUUCUUUUAUAUGGGAAUAAAAUGUUACACGUGUGGGAUUUUGUAUGUACCAUAUGAAUAAGACUCGGCUAACCCCGUGCCAGCAGCCGCGGUAAUACGGAGGAUCCGAGCGUUAUCCGGAUUUAUUGGGUUUAAAGGGAGAGUAGGUGGAUUGUUAAGUCAGUUGUGAAAGUGUUCGGCUCAACCGUAAAAUUGCAGUUGAAACUGGCAGGCUAGAGUACAGGAGAGGUGGGCGGAAUUCGUGGUGUAGCGGUGAAAUGCGUAGAUAUCACGAAGAACUCCGAUUGCGAAGGCAGCUCACUGGACUGCAACUGACACUGAGGCGCGAAAGUGUGGGUAUCAAACAGGAUUAGAUACCCGUGUAGUC